rnacentral:rRNA from 1 species
GAUUAAAUUGGUGCCAGCAAUCGCGGUUACACCAAUUAUACAAAUGAAUUUUUUUAGUAAAAGUUAAAUUGGUUUAAUUUAAAUAUAAUUAAAUUUAUUAAGUGAAAUUUUAAAUUUAAAAUUUUUAUUAAGUGAAUAAUUGAAACUUGAAAAUUUUAAAUAAAAACUAGGAUUAGAUACCCUAUUAUUUAAAAUGUAAAUAUAAAUACUUAAGUAGUAAUAGUUAAGUUCUUGAAACUUAAAAAAUUUGGCGGUAUUUUAGUCUAUCCAGAGGAACCUGUUUUGUAAUCGAUAAUCCACGAUGGACCUUACUUAAGUUUGUAAUCAGUUUAUAUACCGUCGUUAUCAGAAUAUUUUAUAAGAAUAUUAAUAUUCAAUAAUUUUUAUUAAAAUUUAUAUCAGAUCAAGGUGUAGCUUAUAUUUAAGUAAUAAUGGGUUACAAUAAAUUUAUUUAAACGGAUAAAAUUAUGAAAAAAUUUUUGAAGGUGGAUUUGGUAGUAAAAUUAUAAAGAUUAAUAAUUUGAUUUUAGCUCUAAAAUAUGUACACAUCGCCCGUCGCUCUU